rnacentral:misc_RNA from 1 species
ACCAAUAAAACCGAUUGACUGCAGAAGACAGACAUUCAAGGUAACAGACAUUCAUGCACACAAUAAAAAAAAAUAUCAAGCAUAAAUGGUAAGAUAAGAUACAGUCUUAAGGAAGUAAUUUCUAGUUUUGUACUAUGUUAAUAUGGAUUUUACUGCAUACUGUUCACAGAUGUGAGAGAGAGAGGAGUGAUACAGGCAUACAGUUGCAUCCAAUUUACACAAGAUAUUAUUCUGAGGAAGAUCAAUUCAGUUAGGAAAAAAAAAAGAUAUUAUUUUUUUCCCUGGUGCCUAUAUUUUAUAUACAGAAGCAAUAUGGUAAAAAAAAAAAAAAA